rnacentral:rRNA from 2 species
GAUGAACGCUGGCGGCAUGCCUAACACAUGCAAGUCGAACGGAACGAAGAAGAGUGCUUGCACACUUCUAAGUUUAGUGGCGGACGGGUGAGUAACGCGUGGGUAACCAACCUUUCAGAGGGGGAUAACAAUGAGAAAUCAUUGCUAAUACCGCAUAGUUUUGUAACACCACAUGGUGUAACAAAUAAAGGAGAAAUCCGCUGAGAGACGGACCCGCGUCUGAUUAGCUAGUUGGUAAGGUAACGGCUUACCAAGGCGACGAUCAGUAGCCGGCUUGAGAGGGUGAACGGCCACAUUGGGACUGAGACACGGCCCAAACUCCUACGGGAGGCAGCAGUGGGGAAUAUUGCACAAUGGAGGAAACUCUGAUGCAGCAACGCCGCGUGAGCGAAGACGGUCUUCGGAUUGUAAAGCUCUGUCAACGGGGAAGAAAUAAUGACGGUACCCGUGGAGGAGCCACGGCUAACUACGUGCCAGCAGCCGCCGCAGUAAC